rnacentral:lncRNA from 1 species
UUCACAAAAUAUAUUGCAGAUGAGACUUAUGGUUAAUGAGAGAAGACAUGUAUAAAAGCAUAUAUCAAAAAAGCAUAUACCAAACUGUCUUGAUAAUUUAUAAUCAAUUUGAAAGUGAGACUCUUAUUACUUUCUUUUUUUUUUUUUUUUUUUUUUUUGAGACGGAGUCUCGCUCUGUUGCCCAGGCUGGAGUGCAGUGGCGCGAUCUCGGCUCACUGCAAGCUCCGCCUCCCGGGUUCACGCCAUUCUCCUGCCUCAGCCUCCUGAGUAGCUGGGACUACAGGCGCCCGCUA